rnacentral:rRNA from 1 species
UUGCAAGUAGAACGCUGAAGAGAGGAGCUUGCUCUUCUUGGAUGAGUUGCGAACGGGUGAGUAACGCGUAGGUAACCUGCCUUGUAGCGGGGGAUAACUAUUGGAAACGAUAGCUAAUACCGCAUAACAAUGGAUGACACAUGUCAUUUAUUUGAAAGGGGCAAUUGCUCCACUACAAGAUGGACCUGCGUUGUAUUAGCUAGUAGGUGAGGUAAUGGCUCACCUAGGCGACGAUACAUAGCCGACCUGAGAGGGUGAUCGGCCACACUGGGACUGAGACACGGCCCAGACUCCUACGGGAGGCAGCAGUAGGGAAUCUUCGGCAAUGGGGGCAACCCUGACCGAGCAACGCCGCGUGAGUGAAGAAGGUUUUCGGAUCGUAAAGCUCUGUUGUAAGUCAAGAACGGGUGUGAGAGUGGAAAGUUCACACUGUGACGGUAGCUUACCAGAAAGGGACGGCUAACUACGUGCCAGCAGCCGCGGUAAUACGUAGGUCCCGAGCGUUGUCCGGAUUUAUUGGGCGUAAAGCGAGCGCAGGCGGUUUGAUAAGUCUGAAGUUAAAGGCUGUGGCUCAACCAUAGUUCGCUUUGGAAACUGUCAAACUUGAGUGCAGAAGGGGAGAGUGGAAUUCCAUGUGUAGCGGUGAAAUGCGUAGAUAUAUGGAGGAACACCGGUGGCGAAAGCGGCUCUCUGGUCUGUAACUGACGCUGAGGCUCGAAAGCGUGGGGAGCGAACAGGAUUAGAUACCCUGGUAGUCCACGCCGUAAACGAUGAGUGCUAGGUGUUGGAUCCUUUCCGGGAUUCAGUGCCGCAGCUAACGCAUUAAGCACUCCGCCUGGGGAGUACGACCGCAAGGUUGAAACUCAAAGGAAUUGACGGGGGCCCGCACAAGCGGUGGAGCAUGUGGUUUAAUUCGAAGCAACGCGAAGAACCUUACCAGGUCUUGACAUCCCGAUGCUAUUUCUAGAGAUAGAAAGUUACUUCGGUACAUCGGUGACAGGUGGUGCAUGGUUGUCGUCAGCUCGUGUCGUGAGAUGUUGGGUUAAGUCCCGCAACGAGCGCAACCCCUAUUGUUAGUUGCCAUCAUUCAGUUGGGCACUCUAGCGAGACUGCCGGUAAUAAACCGGAGGAAGGUGGGGAUGACGUCAAAUCAUCAUGCCCCUUAUGACCUGGGCUACACACGUGCUACAAUGGUUGGUACAACGAGUUGCGAGUCGGUGACGGCGAGCUAAUCUCUUAAAGCCAAUCUCAGUUCGGAUUGUAGGCUGCAACUCGCCUACAUGAAGUCGGAAUCGCUAGUAAUCGCGGAUCAGCACGCCGCGGUGAAUACGUUCCCGGGCCUUGUACACACCGCCCGUCACACCACGAGAGUUUGUAACACCCGAAGUCGGUGAGGUAACCUUUUGGAGCCAGCC